GUCCAAGAUCAAGGUGUCUCAGGGUUGGUUUCUCCGGAGAACUCUUCUAGACAUGCCUUCUUUCUAUGCCCUGACAUAGAGAGACUAUAAGCAUGAAGCUGAAGGCUUAAAGUAGAGAACUCCUCUCAAUAAGGUAAGUACAUGGAUAAGUCUAAAGUUUUGUGGAUUUGAGCCCAAGAAUAAAGCCCUGAAGGUUUUGGCCUGCCUGCUAUUUCCUGCCUACCUACCCUAAAGUGAGCCAGUUGGUCAACAUAUCUAUUAUAAACAGAGCUUAGUAUUUACCCUUCAAUCUAGAUAAGAUGCCUGUGGCAAAAACUAACUAUAUGAGUCUUGGAGUGGUGGCUCCUGCCUGUAAUCCCAGCACUCUGGGAGGCUGAGGCAGGUGGAUCACUUGAGUUUAGGAGUUUGAGACCAGCCUUGCCAACAUGGUGAGACUCCCAUCUCUACUAAAACUACAAGAAUUAGCCAGUUGUGGUGGUGCUUGCCUGUAAUACCAGCUACUCAGGAGGCUGAGGCAGGAGAAUCACUUGGGCCAAGGAGGCAGAGGUUGCAGUGAGCCAAGAUCACACCACUGUACUCCAGCCUGAGCAACAGAGGGAGUGAGAAUCUGUCUCAAAAUUUAAUAAUAAUAAUUAACUUAUACAAUGGUAAAGGAAACUCAUACCCACUACCCUCUUAAUCAACCAUCAAACCUACAUCAAUAAAUACAAAUACACAAACAAUACUCACAAAACAUUUGAAGAAAAUCCAUAACCCCACACACAAAAAUACAAGGAAUAUAGAGAAACCAAAUAAAAUAUUGUGAAGGAAUAAAGGAAAUAAAGACAUGUUUAAAAUUCAAUUUUAAAAUGUUCUCACUCUCUCCCAAAAAAGGGAGUACCAAGUCCUCUCAGUCUCUUUACCAGUCACUGGUUAUGCUAAUUCUUCUUCUGAUUCAGUCAUAGUCCCAUUUAGACAGUCUGACAUCUAAAGACUAAAUUAUAAAUGGAAAUGUACACUAAACUGCAGUUAAGUGAGUUAUUAGAUAUAACCAUAAGACAGACAUCCUUGGAUUUCAAAACAAUAUAUCUAAAGGAAAAAGAGGAUAUAAGUCACUGGUCCAAAGCAUAUACACAUUCUUUAGGACAGCACCUCAACUUUACAGGUUGCUGUUUCCCAGAUGAUUCCAUACUGAGCCUCCAAUGGAUGAAUAAAUCAUUCUAGAAGUCCAGCUCCUCCUGAUAAUGCAAUAAGUGAUAAGACCAGUGAAGUUCUUAGUGCUACACUCAUUAAUACUGCUGGGAAAUCAGUGAUUUGUGACAAGAAAUGUUGUAUUGGCUACCAUAAUGAUAAAGCGGGCAUUCCAAACGUACACAUAUAUGAUUUCUGCUUCUGGCUAGGAUGUAAAGGAAUACUAAAUACAUUUUUUCCAGGAAUAACAAUAGAAAAAAAUGCAAAAAUAAAAAUAUCAUAUUCUUUAUGUAACCAAGGAAGAGUAGUGGAUGCAAGAAAACCUGAAUUAAUUCUAUGUCAGAUUAAAAUGUGGCUUUUGGCCAGGAGUGGUGGCUUAUGCUAGAAUCCCAGAAAUUUGGGAGGCCGAGGUGGGAGAACCAUUUUAAAUCAGGAGUUUGAGACCAGCCUGGGCAACAGAGCGACCACAUCACUAGAAAAAACACAAAAUUUAGCCAGAAGCGGUGACAUGUGCCUGUGGUCCUGGCUUUGAGGAAGGCUGUAGUGACAGGCUUACUUAAGCCCAGGAAUUCACAGCUGCAAUGAGCUAUGAUUGCACCACCAGACUCUGGCCUGAGUGACAAGCAAGACCUGUCUCAAAUAAAAAGCAGCCUAUAAUCCCAGCAAUUUGGGAGGCUGAGGCUGGUGAAUCACGAGGUCAAGAGAUCAAGAUCAUCAUGGUCGACAUGGUGAAACACCGUCUCUACUAAAAAUACAAAAUUUAGCUGGGCAUGGUGGCGCGCGCCUGUAGUCCCAGCUACUCGGGAGGCUGAGGCAGGAGAAUUGCUUGAACUCAGGAGGCAGAGGUUGCGGUGAGCCGAGAUCGUGCCAUUGCACUUCUGCCUGGGUAACAAGAGCAAAACUCCAUCUAAAAAAAAAAAAAAAAAAAAAAAGCAAAAAACUGAGGCUUUCAUGCAUGAGCAGAGAGUCAGAGCUUAUUCUAAACCUAUAAGCAGGUGCUUCAUCUAGAUAUGAAAGAAUCAAGAAUGGGUCUGCCAUAGAAAAAGAGAAUGAUAUUAGCUAAGCCUUGGAUAAAAGUGUGAACCAGAUGGACAGACUGGAAUCUGGAAUAUCCCCAAAUUAAAAAACAAAUUGUAUGCCCACAGUCUGCCCAAAACACACACACACACACAAACACAACAAGAAUUGUGCCAAGAAAGAAGCAGUGGAAAGAAAGCUGGAAAAUAGAAUGAAAUCAAAUCAUCCAUGUACUCUGACAUUCAAUGACCCUACCAAUGAAUCCAAAGGUGAACCAAAAUACACAGUAUCUGAAAAAAAGUAUUGUAUAAACUUAACAGCUGAUUUGGCACAGCAGAAAGAAAUAUUCACAAGGCAGAAAGAGAAAAAAAUCUUUUAAAAGAAUAAAAAGUGGAAUUCAAUGAUAUGCUUCUAAUUUCAAGUGGUGUAAUAGAGAUAUUUGGAGUACACAGAGGUGAUUAGAGAAAAAUAAGGGAUAAAUUCUUGAGGACACAUAGCCAAAACUUUCCAAAAUUGAUGAAGAA